UGAGGAAUAUUGGUCAAUGGGCGCGAGCCUGAACCAGCCAAGUAGCGUGAAGGAUGAAGGUCCUAUGGAUUGUAAACUUCUUUUAUACGGGAAUAAAGUGGUCCACGUGUGGGCUUUUGCAUGUACCGUAUGAAUAAGCAUCGGCUAACUCCGUGCCAGCAGCCGCGGUAAUACGGAGGAUGCGAGCGUUAUCCGGAUUUAUUGGGUUUAAAGGGAGCGCAGACGGGGGAUUAAGUCAGUUGUGAAAGUUUGCGGCUCAACCGUAAAAUUGCAGUUGAUACUGGUUCCCUUGAGUGCAGUUGAGGCAGGCGGAAUUCGUGGUGUAGCGGUGAAAUGCAUAGAUAUCACGAAGAACCCCGAUUGCGAAGGCAGCCUGCUAAGCUGUAACUGACGUUGAGGCUCGAAAGUGUGGGUAUCAAACAGGAUUAGAUACCCUGGUAGUCCACACGGUAAACGAUGGAUACUCGCUGUUGGCGAUAUACUGUCAGCGGCCAAGCGAAAGCAUUAAGUAUCCCACCUGGGGAGUACGCCGGCAACGGUGAAACUCAAAGGAAUUGACGGGGGCCCGCACAAGCGGAGGAACAUGUGGUUUAAUUCGAUGAUACGCGAGGAACCUUACCCGGGCUUAAAUUGCAGACGAAUUACUUGGAAACAGGUAAGCCGCAAGGCGUCUGUGAAGGUGCUGCAUGGUUGUCGUCAGCUCGUGCCGUGAGGUGUCGGCUUAAGUGCCAUAACGAGCGCAACCCUCGUGGCCAGUUACUAGCAGGUAACGCUGAGGACUCUGGCCAGACUGCCAUCGCAAGAUGCGAGGAAGGUGGGGAUGACGUCAAAUCAGCACGGCUCUUACGUCCGGGGCUACACACGUGUUACAAUGGGGGGUACAGAGGGCUGCUACCACGCAAGUGGAUGCCAAUCCCAAAAACCUCUCUCAGUUCGGAUUGAAGUCUGCAACCCGACUUCAUGAAGCCGGAAUUGCUAGUAAUGGCAGGUCAGCAUACUGCCGUGAAUACGUUCCC
rnacentral:rRNA from 1 species